CGGGGCGGUGGUCUUAUACGUGCGAGUCGAGCGGAACGACUGUAUGAGUCCUUCGGGUGAGUUAAUGGGCGUCGAGCGGCGGACGGGUGAGUAAUGCCUAGGAAAUUGCCUUGAUGUGGGGGAUAACCAUUGGAAACGAUGGCUAAUACCGCAUAAUGCCUACGGGCCAAAGAGGGGGACCUUCGGACCUCUCGCGUCAAGAUAUGCCUAGGUGGGAUUAGCUAGUUGGUGAGGUAAUGGCUCACCAAGGCGACGAUCCCUAGCUGGUCUGAGAGGAUGAUCAGCCACACUGGAACUGAGACACGGUCCAGACUCCUACGGGAGGCAGCAGUGGGGAAUAUUGCACAAUGGGCGAAAGCCUGAUGCAGCCAUGCCGCGUGUAUGAAGAAGGCCUUCGGGUUGUAAAGUACUUUCAGUUGUGAGGAAGGGGGUAGCGUUAAUAGCGCUAUCUCUUGACGUUAGCAACAGAAGAAGCACCGGCUAACUCCGUGCCAGCAGCCGCGGUAAUACGGAGGGUGCGAGCGUUAAUCGGAAUUACUGGGCGUAAAGCGCAUGCAGGUGGUUCAUUAAGUCAGAUGUGAAAGCCCGGGGCUCAACCUCGGAACUGCAUUUGAAACUGGUGAACUAGAGUGCUGUAGAGGGGGGUAGAAUUUCAGGUGUAGCGGUGAAAUGCGUAGAGAUCUGAAGGAAUACCAGUGGCGAAGGCGGCCCCCUGGACAGACACUGACACUCAGAUGCGAAAGCGUGGGGAGCAAACAGGAUUAGAUACCCUGGUAGUCCACGCCGUAAACGAUGUCUACUUGGAGGUUGUGGCCUUGAGCCGUGGCUUUCGGAGCUAACGCGUUAAGUAGACCGCCUGGGGAGUACGGUCGCAAGAUUAAAACUCAAAUGAAUUGACGGGGGCCCGCACAAGCGGUGGAGCAUGUGGUUUAAUUCGAUGCAACGCGAAAACCUUACCUACUCUUGACAUCCAGAGAAGCCAGCGGAGACGCAGGUGUGCUUUCGGGAACUCUGAGACAGGUGCUGCAUGGCUGUCGUCAGCUCGUGUUGGUGAAAUG
rnacentral:rRNA from 1 species